AGUGAGAGCCACGCUUCUGUUCUAACGACCGAACGACUAAAAAGCACCUGAAGGAAAUGCAAAGCUACAAAUGUCGUUUAAAAAUUUAAAAAAAGUAUAGUUUCGUCCCCCUCAGGUUCUCUAGCAGGUUAUACCAGAUGCUGGGGUUUAGUUACUACAGGCUGCCUCUUGGUCCCCCUCAGGUUCUCUUGCAGGUUAUACCAGAGGCUGGGGUAUAGUUACUACAGGCUGCCUCUUGGUCCCCCUCAGGUUCUCUAGCAGGUCAUACCAGAGGCUGGGGUAUAGUUAGUACAGGCUGCCUCUUGGUCCCCCUCAGGUCCUCUAGCAGGUUAUACCAGAUGCUGGGGUUUAGUUACUACAGGAUGCCUCUUGGUCCCCCUCAGGUUCUCUAGCAGGUUAUACCAGAUGCUGGGGUAUAGUUACUACAGGCUGCCUCUUGGUCCCCCUCAGGUUCUCUAGCAGGUUAUACCAGAUGCUGGGGUUUAGUUACUACAGGCUGCCUCUUGGUCCCCCUCAGGUUCUCUAGCAGGUUAUACCAGAGGCUGGGGUUUAGUUACUACAGGAUGCCUCUUGGUCCCCCUCAGGUUCUCUAGCAGGUUAUACCAGAGGCUGGGGUAUAGUUACUACAGGCUGCCUCUUGGUCCCCCUCAGGUUCUCUCGCAGGUUAUACCAGAUGCUGGGGUUUAGUUACUACAGGCUGCCUCUUGGUCCCCCUCAGGUUCUCUAGCAGGUUAUACCAGAGGCUGGGGUAUAGUUACUACAGGCUGCCUCUUGGUCCCCCUCAGGUUCUCUCGCAGGUUAUACCAGAUGCUGGGGUUUAGUUACUACAGGCUGCCUCUUGGUCCCCCUCAGGUUCUCUAGCAGGUUAUACCAGAGGCUGGGGUUUAGUUACUACAGGAUGCCUCUUGGUCCCCCUCAGGUUCUCUAGCAGGUUAUACCAGAGGCUGGGGUAUAGUUACUACAGGCUGCCUCUUGGUCCCCCUCAGGUUCUCUAGCAGGUUAUACCAGAGGCUGGGGUAUAGUUACUACAGGCUGCCUCUUGGUCCCCCUCAGGUUCUCUAGCAGGUUAUACCAGAGGCUGGGGUAUAGUUACUACAGGCUGCCUCUUGGUCCCCCUCAGGUUCUCUAGCAGGUUAUACCAGAGGCUGGGGUAUAGUUACUACAGGCUGCCUCUUGGUCCCCCUCAGGUUCUCUAGCAGGUCAUACCAGAGGCUGGGGUAUAUUUACUAUAUUCAAUAGAAGAAUCUGAACGUGUUUAAUUGUUAAUCUUGCAGCCAGUGCAGAGACCUUUUUAAACCGGUGUAAAGUGUGUUCUCCUCAGUACCCACGCUGCAGAGACCUUUUAAACCGGUGUAUAGUGUGUUCUCCUCAGUACCCACGCUGCGGAGACCCUGAUAAGUUGGAGCCUCACAGCUCAGCUUGGCUCUGGUGCCAGACCCUGAUAAGUUGGAGCCUCACAGCUCAGCUUGGCUCUGGUGCCAGACCCUGAUAAGUUGGAGCCUCACAGCUCAGCUUGGCUCUGGUGCCAGACCCUGAUAAGUUGGAGCCUCACAGCUCAGCUUGGCUCUGGUGCCAGACCCUGAUAAGUUGGAGCCUCACAGCUCAGCUUGGCUCUGGUGCCAGACCCUGAUAAGUUGGAGCCUCACAGCUCAGCUUGGCUCUGGUGCCA